rnacentral:rRNA from 1 species
GGAUCCAGACUUUGAUUAUGGCUCAGGAUGAACGCUAGCUACAGGCUUAACACAUGCAAGUCGAGGGGCAGCAUGAACUUAGCUUGCUAAGUUUGAUGGCGACCGGCGCACGGGUGAGUAACACGUAUCCAACCUUCCGUUUACUCAGGGAUAGCCUUUCGAAAGAAAGAUUAAUACCUGAUAGUAUGGUGAGAUUGCAUGAUAACACCAUUAAAGAUUUAUUGGUAAACGAUGGGGAUGCGUUCCAUUAGGUAGUAGGCGGGGUAACGGCCCACCUAGCCUGCGAUGGAUAGGGGUUCUGAGAGGAAGGUCCCCCACAUUGGAACUGAGACACGGUCCAAACUCCUACGGGAGGCAGCAGUGAGGAAUAUUGGUCAAUGGGCGAGAGCCUGAACCAGCCAAGUAGCGUGAAGGAUGAAGGCCCUACGGAUUGUAAACUUCUUUUAUACGGGAAUAAAGUAUCCUACGUGUAGGAUUUUGUAUGUACCGUAUGAAUAAGCAUCGGCUAACUCCGUGCCAGCAGCCGCGGUAAUACGGAGGAUGCGAGCGUUAUCCGGAUUUAUUGGGUUUAAAGGGAGCGCAGACGGGAGAUUAAGUCAGUUGUGAAAGUUUGCGGCUCAACCGUAAAAUUGCAGUUGAUACUGGUUUCCUUGAGUGCAGUUGAGGCAGGCGGAAUUCGUGGUGUAGCGGUGAAAUGCUUAGAUAUCACGAAGAACCCCGAUUGCGAAGGCAGCUUGCUAAACUGUAACUGACGUUCAUGCUCGAAAGUGUGGGUAUCAAACAGGAUUAGAUACCCUGGUAGUCCACACGGUAAACGAUGGAUACUCGCUGUUGGCGAUAUACUGUCAGCGGCCAAGCGAAAGCAUUAAGUAUCCCACCUGGGGAGUACGCCGGCAACGGUGCAACUCAAAGGAAUUGACGG